rnacentral:rRNA from 1 species
AGACGGAGGGCGCAAGCGUUGUUCGGAAUUACUGGGCGUAAAGGGCAGGUAGGUGGUCUGUUAAGUCUUCUGUGAAAAUCCGGGGCUCAACCCCGCGAAAUGCAAACGAUACUGGCAGACUGGAGACCGGUAGAGGCUAGCGGAAUUCCUGGUGUAGCGGUGGAAUGCGUAGAUAUCAGGAAGAACACCUGUGGCGAAGGCGGCUAGCUGGGCCGGGUCUGACGCUGAACCGCGAAAGCGUGGGGAGCAAACAGGAUUAGAAACCCCGGUAGUCC